rnacentral:rRNA from 1 species
UUUGUACACACCGCCCGUCGCUACUACCGAUUGAAUGGCUUAGUGAGGCCUUCGGACUGGCUCAGGGAGGUCGGCAACGACCACCCAGAGCCGGAAAGUUCGUCAAACUACGUCAUUUAGAGGAAGUAAAAGUCGUAACAAGGUUUCCGUAGGUGAACCUGCGGAAGGAUCAUUACUGAAAUACGUAAUCCUGAAAGGUAAUGGAAGGGGAGGCCGUAAAAAACCCGCCCAACCUACCUUCACACCCUUGUGUAUCUACCACGUUGCUUUGGCGGGCCGACCCGGUUUUGACCCGGGCGGUCGGUGCCCCCAGCCUAGUUUAUGGGCCAGGACGCCUGGCUAAGUGCCCGCCAGUAUACAAAACUCAAGCGAUUAUUUUGUGUAGUCCUGAGAAUUCAUUUAAUGAAGUAAAACUUUCAACAACGGAUCUCUUGGUUCUGGCAUCGAUGAAGAACGCACCGAAAUGCGAUAAGUAAUGUGAAUUGCAGAAUUCAGUGAAUCAUCGAAUCUUUGAACGCACAUUGCGCCCCCUGGCAUUCCGGGGGGCAUGCCUGUUCGAGCGUCAUUUCAACCCUCAAGCUCUGCUUGGUAUUGGGCGACGUCCGCUGCCGGACGCGCCUGGAAGACCUCGGCGACGGCGUCUCAGCCUCGAGCGUAGUAGUAAAAUAUCUCGCUUUGGAGGAGGGAGGCGCUGGCCGCCGGACAAUCGACCUUCGGUCACUAUUUUUCCAAGGUUGACCUCGGAUCAGGUAGGGAUACCCGCUGAACUUAAGCAUAUCAAUAAGCGGAGGAAAAGAAACCAACAGGGAUUGCCUUAGUAACGGCGAGUGAAGCGGCAAUAGCUCAAAUUUGAAAGCUGGCGUCUUUGACGUCCGCGUUGUAAUUUGUAGAGGAUGUUUCGGCGAGGGCUCC